rnacentral:lncRNA from 1 species
CAUUAGUCGAUGAAGGUUUAAAAAUGCCUUAUUUGGAGAUUGCAACAAACAUUCCUAGAGACAGAGUGACUCCGGAGAUUGUUUCAACCCUUAGUAAAACUCUUAGUGAAACCAUUGGGAAGCCAGAACAGUAUUGUGUUGUUUAGAGUACUUCCAGAUCGCCAUGAGUUUUGGAGGCAACUUUGAUCCUUG